rnacentral:lncRNA from 1 species
UACUUGGGCUCUUUAUUUGUUCACUGGACAGCUGCUUCUGUCAGAGGAGACUAAGAGUCUUAUUCGUCUUCGUGUCUCUAUUUCCUAGUGCAGUUCUAGUACAAAGCUGGCAUUUCAGAAAUGUUUAGUGCAUGAUGAAAUCUGUGUAUGUCCUGCUGUAUAGCACCGGGAACUGUAUCUAGUCACUUAACGAUGGAGCAUGAUGGAGGAUAAUGCGAGAAAAAGAAAUUGUAUAUAUGUGUCUGUGACUGGGUCACCUUGCUAUACAGUAGAAAAUUAACAGAACACUGUAAACCAGCUGUAAUGGGAAAAAAAAUCAUUUAAAAUUUUUAAAAAAAUUGAAAAAAAAAAAAGAAAUCUGUAUAUCUGCUUUCCUUUCUCUAUUGUGAGAUCCCCAGAUGGGUAUCUUGAUCAUUUUUGCUUUUUUAGAAAAUUCAUGUCUUUACAUUUUAUAAUUCAGUUUUAAUGAAGGUUAAAUUGCAUAGAAAAAUGAAAAGGUUAGAAUGAGAGACCUUAUAUAUCUUUUAGUUAAAGUGUCUUCAGAUUCUAAGUGCGAAACUGACUUGGUAUUUUUUCAUCGUGCAGUUAUUAUUAUAAUUGGAUCUGAUUUUAAUAAUAGUAUUUAACACUUAGAUGUGUUUUUGUGCUAGAGACUUCACAAAACACAUUUCAGGGGUUUUUGUAACAUUCACAACAAGGUACAGUGUUUUAUUGCUGCUUAUAUUUUAUAGAACAAAAUACUGAAGUUUGACUAAGCGAGGUCAUAUAUUUGGUGAGGAAUCUGGGAUUCAUAGUUAUUAAAUUAUUAGAUUAUAAAUAAUGUUGAGGGAGAAAAGGGAUUUAAUUAGUGAAUUUGUUUUGUCAAAUGUGUGUCAACAUUUAAUAUAAUGUUUAGAAAAGUCAACGAAAAUAGGAUACAGUGAAUGUCCUUGUCCCCGAGCGAAGAUGGACACAAGUUGUCCAGAGUUAUACUAAGAGGGAAUGACUUUGUGAAGCUUUGAUAAUGUGUCACAGCUUUGUGGCAGGAAAGCAAGUAUACAUAUUAUAUGUCUUGGUCCUGUGGCAGAGCUCAUGCUAAGCAGGAAACUUGACAUAAUUCCUCUUCUACUAUUAGGCUGUCAGAAAUCAAAAAUCAAGAAUAAGAAGGCAGUUACUGUUGAAUGAGGCAAGUCUUCCAUGCCUGUCGCUCCCCACCAGGGAACUCCGCUAUCAUGUGCCUUGGACUUGGUUCUUUAAGGUCAGCAGUUAGAAAAAUAUAGGUUUUACUCAUGGACUGUUGAGAGCACUUGCAUUUUUUUUUUUUUUUUUUUUUUUUUAGGGCUGCACCCAUGGUGUAUGUAAGUUCCCAGGCUAGGGAUCAAAUUGAAGCUGUAGCUGCUGGCCUACACCACAGCCACAGCAACACCAGAUCCGAGCCGAAUCUGUGGCCUAUGCUCAAGGCAGUCCGGAUCCUUGACUCACUGAGUGAGGCCAGGGAUUGAAUCCACAUCCUCAUGGAUACUAGUCGGGUUUGUUAGCUGAGCCAUGAUGCAAACUCUUUUUUUUUUUUUUUUUUUUUUUUUUUUCUAUGUAGCUUGAUGUGGGAUCUCAGUUCCCAGACCAGGAAUUAUACCUGAGUUGUGGUGGCGAAGUGACAAAGUCUAACCACCAGACCGCCAGGGAACUCCCCAGCACUUAUUUACUUGUUCAUUUUGUCUCAGUGUCUGGCACAGUUCUGUAUAACUAAUAGCAUGUCUAGACAGAAAGGUAUUUUGUUUCAGUCCCAUUCUAUGUGAGUGUUGUUUAUACGGUCAGUUUGCCUUUGGCACCACAUUCUAACGAAUAAAAUGUCAACUGCAGUUGUUAUUAGGGACAUUAUUGUCAUUAGUGACUUGAAGACUCCUUUUAACCUGUGAAUUAUAAUUAUGAUGUCUUACUCUGGGUCCAGCCGCACCUCCUCCUGCCCCUUAAAGCUGACCCUAAGACAAGGAGUUGAUAUGAAGAUUUUAUUUUGGUUGUGAUCACAGAAAACAGAAAUGUGGGAAAAUGGAGAGAGGGACAAGAAAGGCAGAAAAACAAAAGAGUAUGUGUUAAUGGGCUGAUUUCUGCUUAGAAUUAUCCUGCUGGAGAACAAAACAUUGGGAUGUUUAUCCAUAGACUUUUGUCUCUCGUUGCAUGAGCAUUGCAUUGGGGUUGCACAUCUCACAUCUCCGGGUUGCACCUUCAUCUGGCUAAGCUAUUUUCCCCAACUUAUAGAAAGCAGUACAGAGAGGCACCAUGGGAUGCUGGUGAAGAUGCACGGAACUGUCCACCAUACAAGUUCUGAAACUAGGUGCACUGAGGGGGAAACGGUACAGUUCAUUCUAAAUAUCUGCCACAGAUAACAGAGUCUUACCUAAGAAUAAUGGCCAAAAGAUGAAACAAAUUGUGAAUGUUCUACUAAUUACUUUUAUGUUUAUAUGUGCUUUUUUUGGUAUGUUUUGGGAGAUUACAGUCAUGACAAAUGGCAUCACAAUCAAUUCAGAGUUGGUGUUAGGACCAAUCGCUCUUCAUAAAAAUUGGCAAAAUGCCAAAUUUUGGCACUGUUUGAAAGAGCCAAAAAAGAGAACGAAAACCUGAGUUUUAAAACUCACUAGUGAAUCGAUUUUACUAGAAGGUCUGAUCAAGGGACACACACUUAAUAUAAUAGCAUUCAGAAUUUUGGAUUUAAAAAUCAUCUUAUUUUUCUUUGAUAUUGCAGAAAAUUAAAAAACUUGAAUAAAAAUAUAAAGAAGGAAACUGCAUCAACCAUAACCUUCCAUCUAAAAAUAAUCAUUAUUACUAUAUUGAUAUAAUUCUUCCCAGAAAAAAUUCUUAUUGUAGAUGUGAGUAGGUGAGAGAUACAUAUAUUUGAUAAUAAAUGCCAAUUCUGCAGUGAGUGGCAGGUAAAGAAACUAAUGUUUAUUGAAUACUUUUUGUUUGCUGCACAUCAGGUUGAGCAGUCUACACACCUUCCCUAAUCCAUUAGCCUUUGCGCUGUUUGCUUUUAGGAAGCCACCCUCCCAGCCCUGGAGGUCAGCCUGCGUGCGUUGGGUACUGCCCAGAGCCUGUCUCCAGUCAUUGAAAGAAUGCUUUGUCUUCCACAGGCCCCAAGUGAGCAAGUCAGAAAGGUUAAGGGCAGCCUGGGAAAUGCUGAGAAGUGUUUUUUCUAAUAGAAAUGAAAAUGGAAUAGAGGCAGAGGAAUGGGGGAAAUGUAUUAGAGUAAAGCAAUGGAAAAGAAACUUCCUUAAAUUCAUUUUCCUCUCAACACUGUGUUAUGUCUGUUUUUAGGUCUGCUUGUUCAAAUGACUAGGCAGAUUUUCCCAAUUAAACCUUCAUUUACAACCCCGCUCAUCCCAAAUGUGUAAAUAAGCUUCUUUUGGGUUUGUCUGACAGGCAUUUGCUUUGCAUCAUCAUUUGUGUUUUGACAUUCCUGGAGAUGAAAACAAUUCUGCCAUAGUCCCAACUCCUUCGAAAUGUCUUUUUCCUCCUUUUAUCUUUGAUUCAUGGGUGUAAGUAAAUAAAACCUGCCCUACCGUGUCUUGCUUCUCCUCCCUCCUUUCCUUUCCAAUUCAGGACUUUAAUUUGAAAAUGGUUAUUUUUAGCCUUGUUCUCAACUGUGCCUAUGCUCUGUCCUCACCAUGCUGCUGAUUGCUGAUAACACAGCUGGCUUCGGGGGUGGCCGGCGCAGUCUGCAAACAUUACAGAUAAGAUUGAUUGAAAAGUGGGUUGCAGCUGAUAGAGACCCUCUGAGGCCUAGGAAGCAGGAGCUUCCUAAAGGGUUUGUUUUUUGGGGUGAAGUUUUUCAACCCUACUUCCAUGGGAGCCUGUCGGGAGAAAGGCAGAAGAGAAAGACAGACUGUCUCUUCUUGGGUGGUCUUGGGACUCAGAGGUGUACUGACCAGUCCUGACUUCAGAAAACUAGGGACUGUGUGAGUAGAGAAAGGGCUGUUUGUGAAACUAUAUAGGAUCAAAGAGUCAGAAGGUACGGCCCAUCCAGAGGCAGUCCAGAGGCUUUCAGUCAAAGUAUAAGCCGGGGUCCAGUCUGAUAACCUUUAGGCCACAAGUGCCCUGUAGAUGUGUUUGCUUGGUUUCUAGUGUUUUUCUUUUUCUUUUUCUUCUUUUGGCUGAGCCCACGUAUAUAGAAGUUCCUAGGCCAGGGUUCCAACCCAUGCCCCAGCAGCGACCCAAGUCACUGUAGUAAUAAUGCCGGGUCCUUAACCCCCUGUGCCGCAAGAGAACUCCUCUAGUAUUCUUUAAAAUUGUGUUAUUAGGAGUUCCCGUUGUGUCUCAGCUGGUAAUGAAACUGACUAGGAUCCCUGAAGAUUCAGGUUCAAUCCCUGGCCUCACUCAGUGGGUUAAGGAUGCGGCAUUUCCAUGAGCUAUGGUGUAGGUCACAGAUGUGGCUUGGGUAUGGCAUUGCUCUGGUUGUGGCUGUGGCCAGCAGCUGCAGCUCCAAUUCAGCCGCCAGCCUGGGAGCUCCCAUAUACCGCAGGUGCAGCCUGAAAAAGAAAAAAAAAAGUGUUAGUUAUUAUUAUUGUUGUUCAGUUACAUAGUCAAUAUUUAGGUAUAUAUUCAAUUAUACAUUCAAAGUGAAAUUGAAUAUUAUAGAUUCAAUCAUAUGUUCAAUAGACAGGUAGAUAGAUAGUCAGAUGUAAACGUUUACUCUGUGCCAAGAACUGCUCUAAGCUGUUCACAGAUACCUUGUAAUUUACUUUUAAUAGCCACCCUAUGAGGUAGAUUCCAGUAUUGUCCUCAUUUCACAGAUGAGGAAACUGAGGCACUGAGACGUUAAAUAACUUGUGCAAAGUCAUAUUCAGUAUAACUCUUUGGAACUUGUGGUGACUCUCGGGCUCUCAGUCCUUAGGGCCACAAGUGUCCCUACUAGUUAGGAUAUGCCUGCUCUAGUUUAUUGGAGUCUUCACAUAUCCCUAGUCUCUGUAAUUAGUCAACUUAAAUAUUUUGUUAUCUUUCUUGCUCUAACUUUAAGCCGUUGAGAAAAUAACUUCUGGGAUAAGUCCAUAGUUUUCAAAUCAGGGAGAUGAGGUUUAGCCAAAGAAGGCAUUGGAAAGUGGCAGUGCGGGAUGGAGGAAUCCUCAGAAAAUGCCAAGGGCCCACUGGUCCUAAACCACCUUCGCCCACCGGGGUAGUGAUUCCAGUCACUCAUCUAGUCAGCUGUACGUAGGAGAUGACAAAAACUGAGCCAAAAGCAAAGUCCCUUAGUCACUUAUGAUGGAGCCUGAUGGAGGAUAAUGUGAGAAAAAGAGUGAACACACGUACGUGUGACGGGGUCACUUUGCUGUACAGUAGAAAAUUGACAGAAUACUGUGAACCAACUAUAAUGGAAACAAUAAAAAUCAUUUAAGAAAUUAAAAAAAAGCAAAGGUCACAACUCUGGGUGAAAACCAAAGAGAAAUUUCAGUCUAAAGAAGGGUAAGCCAGGUAGGCAGUGACUGUGCUCUCCUGCGUUAUGAAGAGGAGGGAGCAUUGACAUGGCAAGGUCUGGGAAGUCUCCUCUGAGGAGGUGACUUUAAGAACUUGAGCAGAAGUUACCCAGAAAGGAAUAGGUCAUCACGUAUGGUUGUGAAGAUGGUGCCUUGAAAACAGCUUUCCUGGAGUUCCUGUGGUGGCUCAGUGGUUCAAGAACCUGACUAGUCUCCAUGAGGACUCGGGUUCGAUCCCUGGCCUUGCUAAGUGGGUUAAGAAUCCCACGUUGCUGUGGCUGUGGCGUAGGCUGGCAGCUGCAACUCCGAUUCGACCCUUAGCCUGGGAACCUCCAUAUGCUGUGGGUGUGGCCCUAAAAAGACAAAAAAAAAAAAAAAAAAA